AACGAACGCUGGCGGCGUACCUAACACAUGCAAGUCGUGCGAGAAAGUUCCUUCGGGAGCGAGUAAAGCGGCGCACGGGUGAGUAACACGUAGGUAACCUGCCCCCCAGUCUGGAACAACUAGAGGAAACUCUAGCUAAUGCCGGAUGAGACCACGAUCCCUUCGGGGGUUGCGGCCAAAGAUGGCCUCUACUUGUAAGCUAUCGCUGAGGGAUGGGCCUGCGGGCCAUUAGCUUGUUGGUGAGGUAACGGCUCACCAAGGCUGUGAUGGCUAGCUGGUCUGAGAGGAUGACCAGCCACACUGGGACUGAGACACGGCCCAGACUCCUACGGGAGGCAGCAGUGGGGAAUAUUGCGCAAUGGGCGAAAGCCUGACGCAGCGACGCCGCGUGGGUGAUGAAGGCCU
rnacentral:rRNA from 1 species